AGUCACUGGGCUCGCUAAACCCAGAGGCGCAGUGAAAGCGGCUGGCGCGUGCGGGGGUUCGCCUUCGCCGCGCCGUUUUCGGGAGGAUGGCUUUCUGCCCGCACUCCCGGGGCGCCUCGGCUUCGGCCGCAGGCGCACCCAGAGCGUACACGUUGGGACCCGAAAGAUGGUGAACUAUGCCUGGUCAGGACGAAGUCAGGGGAAACCCUGAUGGAGGUCCGCAGCGAUUCUGACGUGCAAAUCGAUCGUCAGAGCUGGGUAUAGGGGCGAAAGACUAAUCGAACCAUCUAGUAGCUGGUUCCCUCCGAAGUUUCCCUCAGGAUAGCUGGCGUCCGUUUGGACAAGGGAACGAGUCUCAUCCGGUAAAGCGAAUGAUUAGAGGCCUUGGGGCCGAAACGACCUCAACCUAUUCUCAAACUUUAAAUGGGUGAGAUCUCCGGCUUGCUCGAGUGAAGCCGCGAGUUUCUCGGAUCAGGAUGCCAAGUGGGCCAUUUUUGGUAAGCAGAACUGGCGCUGUGGGAUGAA
rnacentral:rRNA from 1 species